UUCGUUGGUAAAAAAGUAGCCAAAGAGUUGGCGGUUGGUGGUAAUGACUAGCUGCCUUCCCUCUAGUCUUACAUAACUAAAUUAUGGACGGCUAGCGCAGAUAGCCCUCGUGUAGCUGACAAGUAAAUGUUAGAUAUAUUGAAGUUGACUAGUAAAAGUUAGUCAGAUGUAUUGAAGUUGACUAGUAAAAGUUAGUCAGAUGUAUUGAAGUUGACUAGUAAAAGUUAGUCAGAUAUAUCGAAGUUGACUAGUAAAAGUUAGUCAGAUAUAUCGAAGUUGACUAGUAAAAGUUAGUCAGAUAUAUCGAAGUUGACUAGUAAAAGUUAGUCAGAUAUAUCGAAGUUGACAAGUAAAAGUUAGUCAGAUAUAUCGAAGUUGACUAGUAAAAGUUAGUCAGAUACAUUGAAGUUGACCAGUAAAAGUUAGUCAGAUGUAUCGAAGUUGACUAGUAAAAGUUAGUCAGAUAUAUUGAAGUUGACUAGUAAAAGCUAGUCAGAUGUAUUGAAGUUGACUAGUAAAAGUUAGUCAGAUAUAUCGAAGUUGACUAGUAAAAGUUAGUCAGAUAUAUCGAAGUUGACCGGUAAAAGUCGUAGUGAAAAUAAAGAUAUUUAUUUAACGUAGUCCAAAACCUACCGAUUCUUAUAGAAAUAGGAUUAUUUUACGUGUUACUCUUCACGAAAACAUGGACAUUAAAGAUUAACUAAUAGAAACCUUGUCAUACCGUACUUCAAAAAAUGUCAGCACCACAUCAGUAAUGAAACCAAAAGAUAAAGACAAAAAAAAAAUGCCCCCCUCUUUUAUUAUUCUGAUCUGCCCGUUACUUUUAUUCAGCCAGUUUAUUUAUGAAGUAAUAUUUUAGAACGUCUGGUUUUUAUUUGAACUGUUUUUUAACUCAUUAUCUGGAAUUAUUGCUAAUAAUAGAAUUUUGGUUUUCACGUAUUUUGGACAAACCGUAGGAGAUGUAUCAAUGUUAAUUAAAACAGUUAUAUUUUUGUUAAUUAAAACAACUUGUAAGCCAAUAGAAUACGUCAUGUCUCGUGGGUUGGCACAUACUAUUUUAGUCAGAGAAUGUUUCGAAUCAUUGCGAGUGGAUGAAUAAAGUAAUUUAUUAGGAGGGAACUAUGCCUAGUAGAAGUAGAGCGUUUAUUACGAGGUUCGUUGCAAUAUUGAAAUGGGGGUGGAGACAAAUUAACAUUGAUGGGAAAAUUAUAACCGAUUAACUGUUGUAUUAAAAUUGUUUGAAUCGGUUGUUUUUAGUUGCUUUCUGAUUUACUUGUUUAAAGACAAAAUGUGCGGAAAUCAGAACAUUUUCUUGUGUCACAGCUGCAGGUCUGAGGGUUUAUAAUCUAAAAAUUGGGUAUCAAUACUUGUGUUGGGCACGAAGUGUGUAGCUUUGUGCGUAACAACAAACAAAUCCUUUAGACUGUAAGCAGAAAACAACAUUAAUGUCUUGACAUGAGCUGUUUCAUUGACAGGACCGAAAGCCACGGACACGAGGCUGAGAAAGGUAUUGUUCAUUUGAGGCAUUAUGGGAUAUAUUUUAAAUUAUUCCUUGCAGUUUUAAACAUUUUGAUGUGUUAAGAGUCCGUUAUACAGGAAAAUAGGAGUAGUUGAAUAACGGUCUUGUAAUUGUUUAAUCCAGUGUUUUCCAAAGUUUGGGGCGUGGCCUUUUGGAACAGAAGGAACAGAAAAGUUGGAAACGACAAUAACCUAACAUAACUAUUUCUUUCCCCUCUUUUUUUUUUGAUCUCCCAUUUGCUAUUUCCCUACAAUCAUUUUAUCAGUUAAACAUUUAUAUAAAAAAAAAACAGG